rnacentral:rRNA from 1 species
CACUCCUGCGGGAGGCAGCAGUGGGGAAUUUUGGACAAUGGGCGAAAGCCUGAUCCAGCAAUGCCGCGUGUGUGAAGAAGGCCUUCGGGUUGUAAAGCACUUUUGUCCGGAAAGAAAUCCUUGGCUCUAAUACAGUCGGGGGAUGACGGUACCGGAAGAAUAAGCACCGGCUAACUACGUGCCAGCAGCCGCGGUAAUACGUAGGGUGCGAGCGUUAAUCGGAAUUACUGGGCGUAAAGCGUGCGCAGGCGGUUUGCUAAGACCGAUGUGAAAUCCCCGGGCUCAACCUGGGAACUGCAUUGGUGACUGGCAGGCUAGAGUAUGGCAGAGGGGGGUAGAAUUCCACGUGUAGCAGUGAAAUGCGUAGAGAUGUGGAGGAAUACCGAUGGCGAAGGCAGCCCCCUGGGCCAAUACUGACGCUCAUGCACGAAAGCGUGGGGAGCAAACAGGAUUAGAAACCCGUGUAGUCC